rnacentral:rRNA from 1 species
CGGCGGACGGGUGAGUAACACGUGGAUAACCUACCUAUAAGACUGGGAUAACUUCGGGAAACCGGAGCUAAUACCGGAUAAUAUUUUGAACCGCAUGGUUCAAAAGUAAAAGACGGUCUUGCUGUCACUUAUAGAUGGAUCCGCGCUGCAUUAGCUAGUUGGUAAGGUAACGGCUUACCAAGGCAACGAUACAUAGCCGACCUGAGAGGGUGAUCGGCCACACUGGAACUGAGACACGGUCCAG